UUCCGGUUGAUCCUGCCGGAGGUUACUGCUAUCGAGGUUCGACUAAGCCAUGCGAGUCGAAUGUAGCAAUACAUGGCGUACUGCUCAGUAACACGUGGACAACCUACCCUUUGGACGGGGAUAAACCCGGGAAACUGGGUAUAAUACCCGAUAGAUCUGAGAAGCUGGAAUGCGCUCAGAUUGAAAGCUCCGGCGCCAAAGGAUGGGUCUGCGGCCUAUCAGGUAGUAGUGGGUGUAGCGUACCUACUAGCCUACGACGGGUACGGUUUGUGAGAGCAAGACCCCGAGAUGGAUUCUGA
rnacentral:rRNA from 1 species